rnacentral:rRNA from 1 species
GACAGAGGGUGCAAACGUUGCUCGGAAUUACUGGGCGUAAAGCGCGUGUAGGCGGUUCCGCAAGUCAGGUGUGAAAGCCCAGGGCUCAACCCUGGAAGUGCACUUGAUACUACGGAGCUUGAGUACUGAAGAGGAGAGCGGAAUUCCCGGUGUAGAGGUGAAAUUCGUAGAUAUCGGGAGGAACACCGGUGGCGAAGGCGGUUCUCUGGGCCUGUACUGACGCUGAGGAGCGAAAGCGUGGGGAGCGAACAGG